UGGGGAAUAUUGCACAAUGGGCGAAAGCCUGAUGCAGCAACGCCGCGUGAGUGAUGAAGGUCUUCGGAUUGUAAAGCUCUGUCUUUUGGGACGAUAAUGACGGUACCAAAGGAGGAAGCCACGGCUAACUACGUGCCAGCAGCCGCGGUAAUACGUAGGUGGCGAGCGUUGUCCGGAUUUACUGGGCGUAAAGGGUGCGUAGGCGGAUGUUUAAGUGAGAUGUGAAAUACCCGGGCUUAACUUGGGUGCUGCAUUUCAAACUGGAUAUCUAGAGUGCAGGAGAGGAGAAUGGAAUUCCUAGUGUAGCGGUGAAAUGCGUAGAGAUUAGGAAGAACACCAGUGGCGAAGGCGAUUCUCUGGACUGUAACUGACGCUGAGGCACGAAAGCGUGGGUAGCAAACAGGAUUAGAUACCCUGGUAGUCCACGCCGUAAACGAUGAGUACUAGGUGUAGGAGGUAUCGACCCCUUCUGUGCCGCAGUAAACACAUUAAGUACUCCGCCUGGG
rnacentral:rRNA from 1 species